GGAGAGGUGCGAGAGCGGCCGAAUCGGACGCACUGCUAAUGCGUUGACUCCCACAAGGGGUCCGAGGGUUCAAAUCCCUCCCUCUCCG
rnacentral:tRNA from 1 species